rnacentral:rRNA from 1 species
UACGUAGGGUGCGAGCGUUAAUCGGAAUUACUGGGCGUAAAGUGUGCGCAGGCGGCAAAGCAAGUCGAGUGUGAAAGCCCCGGGCUUAACUUGGGAAUUGCGUUCGAAACUACUUUGCUGGAGUGUGGCAGAGGAAGGUGGAAUUCCACGUGUAGCGGUGAAAUGCGUAGAGAAUGUGGAGGAACACCAAUGGCGAAGGCAGCCUUCUGGGCCAACACUGACGCUCAUGCACGAAAGCGUGGGGAGCAAA